CCCUCUUUAUACCCUAAAUCCCUCACAUUAAAGAGGGGGAGAUCAAAAAAAUCCAUUAGAUCAUUAGACCCCUAAGACCCUUGGAAAAUACAGAGCAACGACGCUCCAUAUCUGCUCUCUUUUGAAAUGAAAAAUCCAUCCCAAUUUGCUCUCAGGUCCCUCACAUAAUCCUUUCUCCCUCUCCUUCCUCUCUGAUUUCACUAACAUAUACAUGCAAAAAGCCUUAGCAGCAACUGGAAUUUGAGAUUCCAAAUUUGGCGAAAACUCUCGAAAAACAUAAUCGAAAACCAAAAGAAAAAGAUUUGAAAAGCUAGUCUGAAUUCUGUUGUUUUUUUCAAUAAUUCAUAGUUGCUUGAGCUGAAUUUGGACUUAAAUUGAAGUUGUGCAUGUGUUUGAGUGGAAAACAAAGUUCUAAAAAGAAACAAAAGAAAAAGGGGAAAGUGAAAUUUCAAGGGGAAAAUCUGAAAUCAACUCGAUGGCUAGCGAGUUUUGAGAACCAAACGCUUCCUGGGUUUCUAAAAAUUGCUGAGUUCGAAAAUCUGCUGUUGUUGUAUUCAUGUAGCAGCUGAGCUCCACUCUGUCUCCUUCUUAGCCUUAUUUGGCCUCACAAGUUUGUUUUAAAUACUAGGUAUGUACACUUCCAGUUUCUUUGAUUGUUUCUAGGUCGAAUGAAUGAAAUAUUGAUUUGUUUUGGCUCCAAUUUUUUCUGUUGUUUGGUUGAAUCUGUUGCCUUACUUUGGAUAAGCAUAUUGAAUGAUGAAUCUAUGUUUAUUAGUUUGAGUAAGAAGAAGUUUAAUUUUGAUGAAGGGUCAUGACGACGGGUAAUAAAAACGUGAAAUCAGUGUAUAUAAACUCAGCUAUAUAAAUUUGAUUAGAGAACGAUUACAUCUAAAGCAAGUAGAGUAAUAAUUUGGCAUAUUGAGUUGGAUUCCAAGGAUCGGCUUCGUGCCUGAUGUUUGAAUUUGAUUGUCUAAGAUAUUUGAUUUUCUACUGAUUAGGUUCUUAAAAUCAAAAGCUGUCAUUUUUGUCAUUGUCUUUGUUAUCUUACCCCAAAAAUCUAGCCAUGACAAGAGCCAACAACCAUCCUCUAUCUGUGAGCAAACUAGUCCAAAAUGUUAUCCCUUUUCCACUUGAAAACACCACAAAGUCAGCCUCCCAAAAGGCCAUGAAAAUCAGCCUUAAACUCACUUGGAAACUUCAUUGAAACUAGCAACAAAGAGAUCUAUUUCCUCCACCAAAACAACUACUCAAACUGCCAUGAAAAUACCUCUGUCCCAUCAAAGAACGCAGCCAGCAAAGCUAAAGAAAAACAACUGAAAUCAACCACAAAAACGACCCCGAAACAGCUCGAAAACCCAGCUCUUUUCCCCGUGAAACAGUCCAAAACUCAGCUGAAAAAACGUAGCAAAGUAAUCAUGAAAACUGAGCUAAAAAACCAGCCAAAAAUCACCUCAAAACUGCUGAAAAACAGUCCCAAAACCACCCCUAUUUUAAUUCUUUUGCUCUUGUUCAUUUGAAUAGUUCUAGGUAUGGUUUAGCCAUUUAUUAACAUUUAUUAUUUUGUGUUUUGUUAGUUUUGUUAUUCUGUUUGGAUGUGAAGAUGUCGGAAAGUUGGCAUGAAUUUGACAAGUUGGUUGUGAUGAUUAUUUUUAAAUUUGAGGUACUUUUACUAAUUAAUGAGUUAUUUAGUUAGUAUUUAAGCUUGUUUGGCCAUUUGAUUGUCUUAGAAAACCAGAAGAUUAGAUUAAGCUUAAAAAGUAUUAUUGUAUUUUAGUUUGGACCAAUUUGAUUAAAUGAAUGGUUGGGUAAAAUAAAUGUUAUGCCAUGCCAAAUAAAACCUCUAAGUCCAUGGCCCUCGCAAAGUUGAAAAUGCGUAGCUGCUUUAGGCGCGUAAUUUAAAAUUACUUUCCUAAACUCGGGUGUGCAUUUCAUGUGACCCAAAUCCAAAUCUUAGCAAUGUUAAAUAAAAUGUGUCUCGGACUGCGGGUACAUUUCAUGUGGCGUGGUCCAAGGACGUGGUUUAGAUGACAUUGAAAUCUUCCUUAAAACAAUUAAAAGUGGUUUAAAGCUAAAAUGCACAUAGGUCUAAAAGUGUUUUUUAAAAUCAAAUAAUUGAGCCAAAAAUAACAGUUGAGCGACCGUGCUAGAACCACGGAACUCGGGAAUGCCUAACACCUUCUCCCAGGUUAACAGAAUUCCUUACCCAGAUUUCUGUGCUCGCAGACUAUAAAACAGAGUCAAUCAUUUCCUAUAUUCGGGAUUCUAAACCGGUGACUUAGGACACCAUAAAUUAUCCCAAGUGGCGACUCUGAAUCUGAUAAAUAAAUAAUCCCGUUUCGAUUGUCACUUUAAAUUGGAAAAAACUCCCUUAUAUACUCCCUUCCGAGAUAUAGGGUAAAAAGGAGGUGUGACAAGUGUAAACACUUAACUAUCCCUCGCCGUGGGUGGUGAUAUCUUCAUCGGGCCUGGGAACCACCACGCGCUUGAAAGGAGGAAGGUUUGUCAACCUUAAAAUUGGCAAUUACCGAGCACCCACCAGGGAUGAACGUGUUCAAAAUGGGUUCCUCGACAAUAGAACAUGGAACGGUCUCCUCGACAACCGAAAGCGAUGCAGAAGGAGUUUCUUUUUGGGGAAUGGUUUUUGAAGUCUUCGCCAUUUUUCUUAAAUGGAGGGGAAAGAAGAAGAGGAAGUUAGAGCAUCACACUUGAUGAUUUGGGGGUGAAGACGAGCAAAAGUUCUCAUAAAGGAUUUCAAGAAAUCAAAGUAUAAGUGCUAUAAAGUAGAUAAAUUUCUAAGGAACAACAAUAGAGAUUAUGCAUGUAAAGUUUGAAUGAACAAAGAAGGGCGUACUUAUAGUUUUCAAAUGAAGGUUCGCAUCUAGUAGCCGACUGGUAACUGACAAUCAUUGAAUACCAUUAAGACUUGACUAACGCGUCAUUUUUUUUAUUUUGUCGUUUCUGUCACAGGAUAUCGAGGUGAGAAUCGGGAGCUCAUGUCGUUUCUUAUCGUCUACUCUCCAAAAAACAAGGGGACUAUCUGUGUACGUUAGAAAUCGAGCUCGUAUAUGAUAUGGUAGAUUGGGCUCGGAACAUGAGGUAUUGACUCACACCUUACUUGUCUUUACUUUCAUGUGUCAACUUGUCAGGCAUCCACAUGUCGUUCAUCAAUUUUACCCCAUACAGAUAGUCAGCCUACUUUUCGGUAAUAACACUUCGUGUUACCAGAAAGUAGAUAAGGAUUUUUUUCUUGAUGGAAAAGGUUUUGAAUAGUUUUUGACACUUGAAAGGACGUAUGUCUCCUCGUAUUUAAUGAGUCGAACACGUGUUAUACUAUGAUUUGGUAAAUAUUUUUGUCAGUUUUUAAGGUAACGAUGACCAUGAAUUCUACUUCCUAUAAACUUUUCCACUACUCAUCCUUUUUAUUUUUCACUUUUACAAACUUUUCUUCUUUGAAUCACCCUUAGAGUUUUUCUGUAAAUCUCUCUUUCUUAGUAAAAUUUUCUUAACCAAAUUCUCUAUCACCAUAUCUUUCACUUUUUCUGUCCCCAAAAACUCUGGCCUUCACAUCAGUGGUGGCCCUUCUAAAAAGAAUAAAAUCAAGGAAGCCGAUGCCGGUCCUCCUACUACCAACACAAUUAUCCCAUCCCAAUUAAAUUCUGAAACGGAUCUCCAAGUGCAAAAGAACCUAUCAACCCCAAGAAAUAGAAAUUAUCCUGAUAGUAGAUAUCCUUCUUAUAUUCGCCCUACUAGUAUUCCGAUUAUGAAAGCAGAUUUCGAUUGGAAAACAUUAAAAUCUUAGCCCCAAUAAAGUGGAAGGGGUUACCUUUAACAAACGGGGGUUCAUGUAUAUCUACACGUAUCCUUCCACUUUAAGAAUGUGCCAAAAAAUUAAUCUCAAUAUCUUAGAAUUUUGUCACAAGCCCAUCAAUUUGACGUAUGGUGGCUUGCCUCGGGGUAUUGUGCUCCCAAGACGGAGAAAGCCUCACUCUUGCCCAUUUUAUCAACCUCUACUCCCCAAAGAAUUUUAUCAACCUCUACUCCCCAAAGAAUUUUAUCAACCCUCACCCAUCCACCAAACCUUAUUUACUAGUGUUGAUGAUGAUAAUGAUUGUGGUUGGAUGGAACGGUUCAUUGUCAUUACUACUAGGGACAUCCUUCUAGCAACAACACCUUCUAUCCCAGAAUCUUGGAACUUUGCUCGUAAGUUUUGUAGAUAGGUUUUUUCUAUUGCAUUAAAGAAAAUUCCCUCCUUUACUAACUUUUAUUUCUCUUAUUUAAGCUACCCGUUGGGUUCCAUCAUCGGCUAAGAACCUGACUCAAUGGGUACAAAAUAUUCUAGAUGCCUCUACACCGGAUUCCCAUAAGGGGAAAGAAAUUUCUCCAAAAUUUAAUUGGAAGGCCAAGAAUCAUGAUAAGGAAAAGUUCCUUUUUCCCUUUCUAAUCUUCAACAUGAAUUUGAUGGCUCUUUACUAACUCCCUCCUUCGUAAUACACAGGUCUUACAACUGGGUCUUUUAUUUUCCUGUUCUUGAGGUUUCCCAUGACCCAAUGGUGGCCCAUCAACGGAUGUAAGAAUCCUUAAUCGGAAGAGGGCUCGUGAUGCUGCUUUUGCUUCCGAUAAAGGCCCAUCUUCCCUGAGUCCCCAGUCUAAGGAGAAAAAAUCAAAAUGAAAACGUACCCCCAAAGAUGAGACUUAGGAGAAGCCUUCAACAAAAUAAGUUUCAAUUGGACCAACCACAAUUAUCACGACCCAAUGCCCGUUUAGGUCGUGAUGGCACCCAACACUGUUGCUAGGCAAGCCAACAGUCAACAAACUAGUGAUUUCCCAUUUUUAUUAGUUUUUCAAGUAAAUAAAUUUCCUUAAUUUAAAAUAUUUAAUGAAUAAUAGAUUUAAAGUAAUCAAAAUGAAAGCAGCUAAAUGCAAUCAUAACCGUAGAAAUACAACCCAAAAUCAUAAAUCUACUAGCGUGUGCCAAGACCCGGUGUCACAUGUGUAUGAGCACUCUAGUAAAAUAUAUAAAAGAAUACUAGUCUACUGUCUAAAAUGAAAUAGACAGAAAAUAUAACAAAAGAAAGACUUCGGCUGCUGCAAAACGGCUCGGAAGGGCAGCUCACUGUAUAGUCUUGUACCAGAAGUCAAGUGUGUGCACCAGACUGAUAACCACAUGUAUGUGCCUCAGAUCCUGCACAUUUUAAGUGCAGAAGUGUAGCGUGAGUACAUAAACAACAUAUACCCAGUAAUUAUCCAGUCUAACCUCGAAGAAGUAGUGACGAGGAAUCAACUUUGACACUUACUAUGGGCUAACAAUGAUAUAUCGAAAUGAUAUACUAAGCAUUGGUUACAUGAAUAAUACUGAAACUCAAUAAUAGUAAAUAUUAAAUGCUCAUUUCAUAAAUAUUAAGUCCCAAGUUUAUUUUCAUCAUUUAACAGUUUGUAUCUCAAGGCAUUUAAGCAAUAUCAACCAUGAAUAGUUCCAAAGAUUUAUCAUGCGCAAAUUAUGCUGAGGUCGAACGACCCAAUCCAACAUAAUAUUUAAACUCUACACUGCCGAGGAUCGACUGGCACGAACCAUAGAUGCAUCUAUCCGCUAUUGAGGCAUUCGACCUACUCCAUAAAUGGAAAACGCUAUGAAGAAACACAAAUUUUCAACAACAGUCAAAAUUCCUCAUUUAUAAAUUCAAGUAUUUGAAAUUUAACCUUCUACAAUUCUUUUAUCAACUUCCAUAUGACUCAAAUAAUUAAGUUAUCAAGUAGGAGCAAACAUUACAAACAAUAGCAUGAUAUGGGUCCUAGACUACUAGGACAAUAACACAAUUAGUAGCUACGUACGGACUCUCGCCACCUCGUAUAUACGUAGCCCCCACAAAUUAGACACACAUAUUUAUUUAAUUCACCUAUGGGGUUAAUUCCCUCUUAAAAGGUUAGAAAAGAGACUUACCUCAUCUCAAGGCCUACUUUCCGGUCCAAAGUUGUGCUCAAACCCCCAAAUUUGGUGCCAAACGACCCAAAACUAGUCAAAUAUUAUAUAAAAUAAUCAAUUUAUGCUCAAAAGUUCAUAUCCCAACUAUUAAAGUGAUUAUCCAACUUUAAAUGUAGGAUUCCUAAAAUUUACCCCCAGGCCAACGUGCCCGGAUUCGGAAAUUUUUUGAAGAAAGUUGUUACUCAUAACCCCAUGAACUCAAAUAUAUGAUUUUUACUAAAUUCCAUAACUAAUUUCGUGGUCAAAACUCAUUUUUAUCAAAAACCUAGAGUUUCAUCUAAACUCUUAAUUUUCACCAAUUUUUACAUGUUAAUCUACUCAUAAUCUAUGUAUUUAACUUAUGUUGUGUGGAAAUCACUUACCUCAAGGUGCUAGGUGAAACCCCCCUUCCAAGAGCUCCAAAAAUCGCCUAGGAGUUGAAAGAAAAUGAGCUAAAUGGUCUAAGUCUUGUAAUUAAUAAGUUGUGCACAGGCCUCAUAUGUGCGACAUCUGGUUCGCAAAUGCGACAAACCCAUCACAAAUGCGAACCUGGGCUUAGGUUGCCAUCGCAAAUGCGACCAAGGAGUCACAAAUGCAAACUCUGAUGAGAUCGCAAAUGCGACCAAUGUGUCCUAAAUGCAAACACUACCUAGGUCGGUCUUCUUUGCAAUUGUGAAGCCCUUCUCGCAAAUGCGAGGUUUGCAUUUGCGAGACCUGCAACUGCUGACAAGAAUCACCAGAAACUGAUGUGUUUUUCAUCCUUCCGAACGUCGAAACUCACCCGAGCCCUUGGGGCUCCACACCGAACACCCACACAAGUCUAACAACAUCAUACAAACUUGCUCGCACGAUCGGAACACUGAAAUAACAUCAAAAACCAUGAAUUGGUCGCCAAAAUGCAUGGUUUAGCUCAUGAACUCAAAACUUCUAUAAACACUUCCGCUCGUCCGAUUCCUAUCAAAUCAACUCGGAAUGAUGCCAAAUUUUGCGUGCAAGUCUUAAAUGACAUUACAGACCUACUCCAACUUUCGGAAGUAGAAUUCGAACCCGAUAUCAACAAGUCCACACUAGAUCAAACUUUCCAAAAACUUCAAAUUUCUAACUUUCCCCAAUUGACCUCGAGAUGACCUACAGACCUCCGAAUCCACUUCCGGACGCGCUCCAAAGUCCAGAACCACCAUAAGAAGCUAUUCCUAGGCUCGAAAUCCCAAACGCAUGUCUAGAAUGUAAAAAUCUACUUCAACCCAAACUUAUGAAAUUUACUCAAAUGGCAACUUUCACUAUUAGGUGCAAAAACGCUCUUGGGUCGUCCAAAACCCGAUCAGAACAUACGUCCAAGUCUGAAAUAAACAUAUGAACCUAUUGGAACCGUCAAAUCUUAAUUCCGAGGUCGUUUACUCAAAAUGUUGAUCGAAGCCAAACUUAGCCUUUUAAGCCAACUUUAAGGAAUCAAGUGUUCCGAUUUUAACCCGAACCUUUCCAAAUCCCGAACUAACCAUCCCCGCAAGUCAUAAAACAGUAAAAGCAUAUACGAAAAGUCUUAUUUAGGUGAAUGAGGUUCUAGAAAGCAAAACAACCGGUGGGGUAGUUACAUUCUCUACCUCUUAAACAAACGUUCGUCCUAGAAAGGGUUUAGAAUCAUACCCGGAGUGUUGAAUAAGUGUGGAUAUCUGUUCCGCAUGUCCUCCUCGGACUCCUAGGUCUCCUCCUCGACUGGUUGGCCCCUCCACUGAACCUUUACCGUGGAAAUCCUCUUGGAUCUCAACUUGCGAUCCUGUCUAGCAACAAUAGCAACUGGCUCCUCCUCAUAACCUAGGCUCUCAUCUAAAUAAAUCAUGCUGAAGUCUAAAACAUGUGACAAAUCGGUGUGAUACCUCUGGAGCAUAGACACGUGGAACACCGAAUGAACUCUCAAUAGGCUGAGAGGUAAAGCAAGCUCAUAAGCAACCUCCCCAACUCGUUUCAACACCUUAAAUGGUCCUAUAAACUUUGGGCUCAACUUGUCCUUCUUUCUGAAUCUCAUAAUACCCUUCAUCGGCAAGACUUUCAAGAGAACCUUAUCUCCUACCAUAAACGAUAAAUCGUGUGCCUUUUGAUCCGCGUAACUCUUCUGUCUGGACUGUGUUGUGCGAAGCCGCUCCUGAAUCAACCUUACCUUCUCCAAGGAAUCCUUUACCAAAUCACUACCGUAAAACUUAGCCUCGUCGAGCUCAAACCACCCAAUGGGAGAACAACAUCGCAGACCAUAUAGAGCCUCAAAUGGAGCCAUCUCGAUGCUCGGCUGAUAAAUAUUGUUGUAAGCAAACUCGGCCAGAGGUAAGAUCGAUCCCACUGUCCUCCUAAGUUAAUCACACAUGCUUUGAGAAUGUACUCUAAGAUCUAAACUGUCUGCUCCAACUGCUCGUCGGUCUAUGGAUGAAAUGCAGUGCUGAGCUCUAUACGGGUCCCCAACUCACUCUCUACAGCUCUCCAGAAAUGCAAAGUGAACUGAUGGCCACUAUCUGAUAUGAUGGAAACAGACACACCAUUCAACCGGAGUAUCUCCUGAAUAUAAAUCUGGGCCAACCUCUCUAAAGUAUACGUAGUCACAACUGGAAUGAAGUGUGCCGAAUUGGUCAACCUGUCAACAAUGACCCAAACUGAAUCAAACUUCCGCAAGGUAUAGUCAUCUGCUGGAAUAGGCCACCUGGACUCUGGUGCUCAUACUUAACCUGCUGGAAAUUUAGGCACCUAGCUAGAUACUCAACUAUAUCUUUCUUCAUCCGCCACCACCAGAAAUGUUGUCUCAGGUCACGAUACAUCUUCGUAGAACCUGGAUAAAUGGAAUACCGAGAACUGUGUGCCUCAUGUAGAAUCCUCCCUCUCAAGACAUCGACAUUAGGAACACAUAGACAACCCUGGUGUCGUAGAACACCAUCCUCGACGAUAGAACCUCCUUGGUACCACCCUGUAGUACCGUCUCUAUGGAACCAUCAAAUACAGAUCAUCAAACUGUCGAGCCUUGAUCUGCUCUAAUAGUGAAGACUGGGCAACGACUUAUGCAAGAACUCGGAUGGGCUCUGAAAUGUCCAACCUCAUAAGUUUGUUAGCCAAAGACUGAAUGUCCAAAGCUAAUGGCCUCUCCUCUGCUGAAAUGAAUGCCAAGCAACCCAUACUCUCUGAUUUUCUGCUCAAGGCAUCCACUACUACAUUGGCCUUGCCCGGAUGAUAAAGAAUGGUGAUGUUAUAAUCCUUUGGUAACUCAAGCCAUCUGCGCUACCUCAAGUUGAGAUCCCUUUGCUUGAACAAAUGCUGCAAGCUACGAUAAUCAGCGUAAACCACAUAGGAAACCCCAUAAAGAUAAUGCCUCCAAAUCUUAAGAGCCUGAAUAAUCGCGGCUAACUCUAAAUCGUGCACAAGGUAAUUUUUCUCAUGAAUCUUCAGCUAAUGUGAAUCAUAUGCAAUGACUCGCCCCUCCUGCAUCAAUACAUAACCCAAGUCAAUUCAUGAAGCAUCACAAUACACUUUAUACAUCCCCAAAUCGGAAGGCAACACUAGAACCGAUGAUGUAGUCAAAACUGUCUUGAGCUUCUAAAAGCUCAUCUCACAAUCGUGGGACCAACAAUAUAGAGCACCCUUCUGGGUCAAUCUGGUCAAAGGUGCUGUAAUGGAUGAGAAGCCCUCCACAAAUCGGCGAUAAUAACCUGCUAACCCCAAGAAAUUCCUGAUCUCAGUCGCCGAAGUGGGACGAGGCCAGCUCUGAACUACCUCAAUCUUCUUGGGAUCCACCUUAAUACCCUCGCCUGAUACAACAUGCCCCAAGAAUGCUACAGAAUCUAACCAAAACUCACACUUGGAGAACUUAGCAUAUAGCUUCUGUUCCGGCAAUGUUUGAAGAACCACUCUCAAAUGUUGCUCGUGCUCCUCCAUGCUGCAUGAGUAACCCAAAAUGUCAUCAAUGAAGACAAUGACAAACGAAUCAAUAUAAGGCCUGAACACUGUUGAUACCCAAUUUUUCCCUCAUAUAUUUUCAACAUGCAUAUAUAUUUUCAAAAAUAGUGCACAUGCAUUUACAAACAUGCACAAGUAUGUCUAUAAUUUUUUCUAUAAUUUUAAAGGCUUUCAACCAAUUUAUUUCUGUAUUUUUACUAUACAAAUAUCCAAUAGUUAUCCCUCAUAGUAUUUUUAUGAUGAUUUAAUCAUCUAGAUUCAUCAUUUAUGCCCAAAUAGUGCUUAAAUAUUUAAAUUACAUUUUUUAUAAUUACAUUUGCAUUUUUAAGCUAGAAUUGCACAUUUUGCAACAAUAGCCCAUGCAUAUGCAUAAUUAUAUUAUCUAUACAGAAAAUGAAUUUGUAUUUUUUAUAAUAUUAAUAAUUAUUUAGAAUCAUUUUAUUCAUAAAAAUCAUUUUUAUCAUUUAUUAACUAUUUUUACAAAUUAUUUUAUCAAUUAAUUGGGUAUUUAACAAAUAGCCUCUUUUAAUUUGGUUUAAUUUUGGACCUUAGCCCAAAUUGUUACCCCCAACCCAAUUAAAAUCAUAGCCCAAUACCCUGACCCAAUUUUUAAACCUGCUCAACCCCUCAGAUCAAAUCCUGGCCGUUGAUCUCAAAAGAUCAACAGUCCAAGAUCAUUUUUCUAUUUUAAUUAACCCCUAACAUCCUAACCCUAAUCAUUUUCUUCCGCUCUGCCGCGCUUGAAUCCCUCCUCCUCUCUUCUUUCUCAAACUCUCCCCUAACCCUAGCCCGUCGUCACUGGAAGCCCUUCAAUUCAUGGGGUUUUCCUUUGAUUUUAGGCCCCAUCCGGCCUCCUAUCUCUACUGGCUAUUCGAUUUCUUUGUUGUUUGAUGGAAUAUCAAAGAGAUUCAACACAGAUUUGGCUUCAAAUCUUCAUUUUCUUGGCGAACCUACCUGUGUUCAUCUCUAUGUUUGUGAGUGUUGUUAUCUUCAUGUUUAUGGAUUAAACCUCUAGUUCCAAAUUGGAUUUUUCUCACCUCAGUCCAUUUUUUAAAACCAUAGUUUCUUUCUACUCGAGUCUGUUAAGAUCUUUGUACAUCUGAGAUGAUUAUAAGUUUAUCUGAUAUUUCUCUUUAAAAAUCUUCUGUUUUUCCUUAUUAUUAACCGAUUUUAGUGUUCCUCUAAAAUUAUGGUUUCAUCUCUUUACGUUUCUGCAAAAGUUCUAAAAUUUUUAAGUGUUUAACUAUGGUUCUCUUUACUUGUUCGACUGAUUUUUAUGUCUAUAUUCUAAUCCCUAAGUUUUUUUUUUAAAAUUAUUUCACUGUUUGUUUUGAUAUUUGCCCGUUAUUCCUUGGCCCUAUCAAUUAACAGAGAUUAACUGAUUCUUAUUUGCCUAAUUAGGGUUCGAAAUAAUAUUUUUCUGUUAAAAUUGGUAUUUCUCUGCGAUUUUACUUAUUCUUUCCUUAUUUGUGACUAAUAAAUGAUACUACUUGCCUUAAUUAUGUUACUAGCCUAAUUUAUGGGAUUUGAUUGUUUUAACCGACCCCUAGAUGGUGUCUGAUUUAUUUUUCUACCUUAUUAAACCUCUAACUUGGCUGUUAAUUGAUUCUCCCUAAUUUAAGGAUAUUUUUCGGAUUUUGUUAUAUUAAUUAAUUGAGUUUAACCUUAAAAACUGGUUAAUUUGAUUUGCAUACCUUUUUUGUGAACUCUUAAUUUUCUUUGCCUUAUUUUUUUUACUCUGCCGAAUGCUAUAUAAACCGCCCUAUUCUGAUUUUUAAAACAGACGAACACAUAUGGAAAAUUAUAGAAACACCUACACACAUAAACUCUUACUCUUACUCACACACUCACACCCGUAGUUCUUUCUGUUACUUCUAUUUGCUAUACUCUCUAGUCGGCUGAAAGCCAAGGCUAAACUCUUGGAUUCUACUUGCCUUCACCUUCCCGUUUGGUAUCUCCUUAAGCGGUAUGCCUCCAUUUCUAUUAUCAUUCUAUAUUCUAUAUAGUUAAACUUCAACAUGCUUCUGUUUGCCCCCAUCUUUUCCUGUUUAUUGCUCUCUUAACCAGUAUGACCUAUUUCUUGUUAACUUGUCUUGUCUUACAUGUUAGUAUGGCUAGUAUACUUGAGCAUAUUCCUAUUUUAUCCAUGACACUUGUUUACCUGUUUCUCCACUAGCAUGCCCCAAUUCCUGUCUUGUUUUUAUGGGCUGGUAAUUUACCAUAGCAUGUUCCUGAUCAAUUCAUGGUUUCUGUGUACUUCUUUCAAGAAUAAUGUGCUUUAAAUUCCUGCUACCUUUUCUGUAUGGCUGUCUGAUUAGUCAUUUGACUUCAACAUGUUUCUCUUUACUAAAUACAUGUCUAUAUGAUUCCACCUAGUAAUAGUUAAUAGACUAAGUCAACUUUGGCAAUGUGAAACCUUGUUUGACUCAAUUGUGACUAUGUUCUGUCUAUGAUUUCAAUGUUCCUAUUUUGUUGUGACUGUUUAACUACUGGUAACUAUAUCUGAAUCAAUCUGCUGAAAUAUGGUUCUGUUCUGUUUGCAACUUGUUUCUAUUCACUUCUGAAAAUAAACUAUUUUUUCAUAAAACUAUCCCCUACCUUUGUAUACUAUUUUCAAAAUCUUACUCUUAGCUAUCUAGGGUCCUGCCACCCCUAGUGUGAGCACUGCCUAGGGUCAAUGAGACUCCUCCGAACUCUGACACACUAGGGCUGGCCUUCCAAACUCUUUACAAAACUGUUUCUUUGAAAAGGUUAUGGUGUGAGCAUUGCCCGGGGACCCUGAGGCCCUUGUGAACUUUGACACACCAGAAGCCCAUUUUGUGUAUUGUGGACUACCUGUGGACAUCAGACUUGCUUGCUUGAAGGCCUGAUUUCCAGGUUGACAUUGGGCCUGCCAAGACUCUCUAUAGUAUAAUGAUUUGUCAUUAUAUUGGUCUGUAAUAAUGAAAUAAUCCUUGUAAAAACAGAUAUGGGGUUAUGAGUAAAAGCAAGGGAGGAAUCUUUAUAUAUACCUUUUAUCAAAUUCGGGUAGAAAUCAUGCAUAUAGGUUGCUGUUGUGAUUCUUUAUGUGUAUGUCAUUAGAAGCCAUGCCUAUAGUACGUAUCUCAUUACUUGUAAUCCUGAUUUUUCACACUUUGCAUCCUAGAAAUCCUACUUCUAGGUCAUUUAUCAAUUCUGCAUCAAAGAACCAUAUUUCCAAAAUCUCUUUGUGUGCAUUAGAGAUCAUGUUUCUAGGAUAUUCUUUAUUGAACUGGCUUGGCAACUUGUUAACGCCUUUACUCACCUAGAUAUCAUGCCUAUAGGGAAUGUAUAAAAUCAGUCUUAAUACUUAGAUAUCAUGCCUAUAGGGAAUAAUGUUUGUAACCCAUUUCAGCACUUAGAAAGCAUGCCUAUAGGAUUUAAAGAUAAAAUCUGCCUGUUAAAAUUAGUAACUGGUUUACAGCUUAGAUACCAUGUCUAUAAGGUUCUGCCCGACUAUCACUUAGGCAAGCCUGUAGAUUAAUUAACAUUCUGGGUCUAAAAACUAUGAUUGCUUAUUUGACAUAUGCUCGGAUUCAGAGUAUUGACAAAAUUAGUAGGCAAACUGAUAGGUACUCGUCUGCUCGCUUUAAUAAAACUAUUGUAUAUUCCAUUUGUGCUCAUUUAGAUAUCCUACCUAUAGGAUUCUAUAAUCAUUUAAAAUGCUUGUUUGAAUAGCGUGCAUUUGUUUGUCUAUUUGUGGAGGUUAACAUGAGCCCACUUAAUUGCUUCUUAUGUGACAGUCCUACUUGAUUUUGUUUGUCGCUUAGUUUUCUCCUUUUAAAACAACAUAGGUGAGUAUAGAACUGCCUUAAAUAGAGGUCCUAAACACCUCUAGGGCCAGAGGUAAGGGACGGGGUAGUGCACACAUAAGGUACAUACUGGAUGUUAUUAGAACGCUUAGUUAAUGAUUGAAAAGGGGAGGGUAAUUAGGUAGUAAAGGAGAUGAUGACAUGUGCGCUAAUGCUAAGCGUAACACCUCAAUUUGGGGAAGGUUACCGAGUAUUGCAUGGAAGUAAUCCUAUAGGCUAAUAAACUUAGCACACCUCUAUUUUCCGUUUUAAAAUAAUCUCUAUUUGUUUAAACUACUUUAUUUCCUUAAAGACUAAUUUGCUUAAAUUGAGUUUGGCCGGGACUCAUCGUUGUGGACCUCGAGGGGUGCCUAACACCUUCCCCUCAAUGUAAUUUCCAUCCCUUACCCAAUCUCUGGCGAUGUGAACUAGUACAUGCGUUAUUUGCUCUAGUUGCCCUAACGCACCUUAAUCCGUUAGGUGGCGACUCUUCAAAUCUCAUACCCAAUUCCCAAAAGGAAAGGAGUUGUCCCAAAAUGUCAAACCCCGAAUUACGCAAGGAAAAUGGGGGUGCAACAAACACCCUGUUCAUCAAAUCUAUAAAUGCAGCUGGGGCAUUAGUUAAGCCGAAGGACAUCACUAGAAACUCAUAAUGGCCAUAUCUGGUACGAAAAGCAGUCUUCAGAACAUCCACAUCCCGAAUCUUCAACUGAUCGUACCCCGACAUCAUGUCGAUCUUAGAGAACACCUUAGCACCCUGCAACUGGUCAAACAAAUCAACAAUACGAGGCAACAUGUACUUGUUCUUAAUGGUAACAUUGUUCAACUGGUGGUAAUCAAUGCACAUCUGCAUGGUCCCAUCUUUCUUCUUCACAAAUAACAUUGGUGCACCCCAAGGUGACACACUUGGCAUGACGAACCCUUUUGCUAGCAACUCCUCAAGCUAGUCCUUCAACUUUUUCUGAACCAUACGAUAUGGUGGGAUAGAUAUAGGCUGAGUACCUAGAGCCAAGUGAAUACAAAAAUCAAUAUUUCGAUAUGGUAGCAUGCUUGGAAGGUCAGAAGGAAAUAUAGGGUGAACUCCCGAACUACUGGCACUGAAUCAAUUGUCGGAGUCUCCGCGGUAGUAUCCCGAACAUAAGCUAGAUAAGCCAAACAACCCUUCUCGGCCAUGUGUUGAGCCUUCUGAAAAGAGAUGGCCCGACUAGAUGUACUGACAGAUGAACCUUUCCACUCCAAUCUCGGCAACUAUAGCAUUGCUAAAGUAACAGUCUUGGCAUGGCAAUCAAGGAUGGCAAGAUAUGGGGAUAGCCAGUCCAUGCCCAGUAUUACCUCAAAGUCGAUCAUAUCAAGUAAUAGAAGGUCCGCUCUAGUCUCGUAACCACAUAAUGUAACCACAUAGGACCGAUAGAUUCGAUCCAUGAUGAAAGAAUCGCCCACAGGAGUGGGUAUAUAAACAGGAGUACCCAAAGACUCACGAGGAAUGUCCAGGAAAUGAACAAACAAAGAUGACACAUAGGAAUAGGUGGACCCUAGAUAAAAUAAUACUGAAGCAUCCCUACCGCAAACAGAAAUAAUAACUGUGAGUAUAGCAUCUGAGGCCACUGCAUCUGGUCUGGCCAAAAAGGAAUAGAACCUGGCUGGAGCGCCGGCUGGCACCCUCUGCUUGACUGAAUGGUAUCUGGCUCACCUCCCCCUGCCUAGCCUCCACAUCUAGAAUGGCCCCUACCCACCUUCCAUCCGUCUCUGGGUGGCCGGAAAGCUGGUGCUGGAAUCAUAGGCUACUGGCCCUGCUACACUACCUUGCCCCGAAGCCUAGUGUAGAAUCUCCGCACAUGAAUAAGAUCUCCACACUAGAAACAACCCAUUAGCGUAGUGAUCUGCUGCCCUGAGGUCUGACCCUGAUAGUGUAAAUACCCACUGGAAAAACUCUGAAUAGCUGGUGGGCGGUAUGAACUCUCUAGCAUGGCAUUGAAGUAAGCACUGGAAGAACCCUGAUGACCUGAGUACCCACUAGAAGAACCCUGAAUAGCUUGUUGGCGGUAAGAACUCUCUGGCAUGGCGCUGAAAUAGGGUCACGCCGGAGCACCCCGAGGAGGUGGUAGUGUUGGAUAUGUGGGCCAGCUAGGCUUACCGCUCCCAAACUGACCUCUGCCCCCAGCCAGGGCACCUCUAAACUCUCUAGAAAAAUGGGACCUCUUGUCCCACUGCAUCUUCUCUCUACCCCUUUGACUGUAGCCCUCAAUCUUCCGAGCUAUCUCUACUAUUAGCUGAUAAGAAGUACCCAUCUCAACCUCCCAUGCCAUAGUAUCCUGAAUACCUAAGUGCAACCCCGCAGCAAACCUCCGCACUCGCUCCACCUCAGUAGGAAGUAUCAUAAGUGCAUGGCGAGACAACUCAGAGAAUCUCACCUCAUAAUCGGUCACAGACAGCUGACCCUGCUGGAGCUUCUCAAAUUGAUACUGCAACUCUUCCCUCUGAGAGGGUGGAAUAUACUUGCCCAAGAAAAGGCGUGUAAACUGGUCCCAAGUCAUGGGAGGAGAACCCACUGGCCUAAAGAUAAGACUGCCGCCACCUAUGGGCCCUGCCCUCUAACUGGAAAGUAGUGAAGUCCACCUUUUGGGACUCCAAUAUCCUCAUGUUGUGCAGUCUGUCCCCGCACCGAUCAAUGAAGUAUUGGGGAUCCUCAUGUCGCUCACCCCCGAAGAUAGGAGGGUGUAGACUACUCCAUCUAUCCAAUAGCUUUUGUGGCUCGACGGCCACAGCUGCUGCAACUGGCUGGGAUCAGCCUACAGGUAGUGCACUCGGGGUCUGAUAUAUGGAAUCUACAUGUCCUAGAGCAUGGGCAGUAGGGGUAUGUUCUCCCCCUCCUGCCUGAGACAUGGCUGGGUCCGCUGGAAAUAAACCACCUUGAGUCAUAGUAUCCAUGAACCGCAGCAUACGGCCCAUGACCUCCUGAAAGCCCGAUGCUGACAUGAAAUCUACCGAGGCUGGCUUUGUUGCGAGCACCUCGCCCUGCUCCUCAAUGAAGGGAUCCUCCACUAGAUCUGCUGGUGGUGUAGCUAGGCAGCUUUGGGACAUCCUCGUCCCCUAUCUCGGGCUAGUGCCCUCCCCCGACCUCUGCCUCGGCCUCUAGCAAUGAGGGGCAGCUCCUCCCGGGUCUGGAACAUCUUCCAUGUGUGUUCUCACCAUCUGUGAGAAAAUGAGAGAAAGAACAUAAUAUACCAUCAAUUGCACGAUCAGAUAUAAAUAAAGAGUAGUUUUCUAACACCCUAUAGCCUCUCGAUGAUAAGUACGGACGUCUCCGCCCUGAUCUGCAAGACUCUAUUAGGUCUGCCCAUAACUUGCGAGACCUACGUGAACCUAGUUCUCUGAUAGCAUGUUGUCACGACCUAAUUCUCGGUUAGGCCGUUAUGCUUCCAGUACCGUUGCUAGGCAAGACAACAGUGUAUAAUCUAGUGAUUUUCCAUUUUUAUAAGUUUUUCAAUUAAAUAACUCUCCUUAAUUUAAAAUAUUUAAUGAAUAAUGGAUUUAAAGUAAUCAAAACAAAAGCAGAUAAAUGCAAUUAUAAUCGUAGAAAUACAACCCAAAAUCAUAAGUCUACUAGUGUGUGUCAAGACCUAGUAUCACAAGUGCAUGUGCACUCUAGUAAAAGAAUACAAAAGAAUACAAAAAAAUACUAGUCUAUUGUCUAAAAUGAAAUAAACAGAAAAAUAUAACAAAAGGAAGACUUCGGGUGCUAUAGAAUGGCUCGGAAGGGCAGCUCACCGUAUAGUCUCGUACCAGAAGUCAAAAGUGCGCACCAAACUAAUAACCAGAUGAAUCUACCUCAGAUUCUGUACAUUUAAGUGUAGAAGUGUAGUGUGAGUACAUAAACAAUAUAUACCUAGUAUGUAUCCAGUCUAACCUCUAAGAAGUAGUGACGAGGGGUCGACUUUGACAUUUACUAUGGGCUAACAAUGAUAUAUCAAAAUUAUAUACUAAGUAUGGUUACAUGAAUAAUACUGAAACUCAAUAAUAGGAAAUAGUAAAUACUCAUAUCACAAAUAUUAAGUCCCAAGUUUAUUUUCAUCAUUUAACAAUUUGGAUCUCAAGGCAUUUAAGUUAUAUCAAUCAUGAAUAGUUCCAAAUAUUUAUCAUGUGCAAAUUAUGCCAUGGUCAAACGGCCCGAUCCAACAUAAUAUUUAAACUCUGCAGUGUCGAGGGUCGACUGGCACGAACGAUAGAUGCAUCUAUCCUCUAUCGAGGCGUUCGACCUACUCCAUAAAUAGAAAACGCUAUGAAGAAACACAAAUUUUAAACAAUAGUCAAAAUGCCUCAUUUACAAAUUCAAAUAUGUGAAAUUUAACCUUUUACAAUUCUUUUAUCAACUUCCAUAUGACUCAAAUAAUUAAGUUAUCAAGUAGGAGCAAACAUUACAAACAUAGCAUGAUAUGGGUCCUAGACUACCUGGACAAUAACACAAUUAGUAGCUACGUAUGGACUAUCGCCACCUCAUAAGUACGUAGCCCCCACAAAUUAGACACACAUAUUUAUUUAAUUCACCUAUAGAGUUAAUACCCCCUUACAAGGUUAGAAAAGAGACUUACCUCGUCUCAAGGCCUACUUUCCGGUCCAAAGUUGUGCUCAAACCCCCAAAAUUUGGUGCCAAACCACUCGAAACUAGUCAAAUAUUAUAUAAAAUAAUCAUUUUAUGCUCGAAAGUUCGUAUCCCAACUAUUAAAGUGAUUACCCAACUCUAAAUGUAAGAUUCCUAAAAUUCACCCUUGGGUCCACUUUCGCGGAUUCCGGUAAUAUUCGAAGAAAAAUUGUUACCCAUAACCCCAUGAACUCAAANNNNNNNNNNNNNNNNNNNNNNNNNNNNNNNNNNNNNNNNNNNNNNNNNNNNNNNNNNNNNNNNNNNNNNNNNNNNNNNNNNNNNNNNNNNNNNNNNNNNNNNNNNNNNNNNNNNNNNNNNNNNNNNNNNNNNNNNNNNNNNNNNNNNNNNNNNNNNNNNNNNNNNNNNNNNNNNNNNNNNNNNNNNNNNNNNNNNNNNNNNNNNNNNNNNNNNNNNNNNNNNNNNNNNNNNNNNNNNNNNNNNNNNNNNNNNNNNNNNNNNNNNNNNNNNNNNNNNNNNNNNNNNNNNNNNNNNNNNNNNNNNNNNNNNNNNNNNNNNNNNNNNNNNNNNNNNNNNNNNNNNNNNNNNNNNNNNNNNNNNNNNNNNNNNNNNNNNNNNNNNNNNNNNCCUCAAGGUACUAGGUGAAAUCCCCCUUCCAAAAGCUUCAAAAAAUUCCCAAGAGUUGAAAGAAAAUGAGCUAAAUGGUCUAAGUCUCGUAAUUAAUAAGCUGUGCCAAAGCCUCAGAUGUCGCAUUUGCGACAACUUGUUCGCAAAUGCAAACUUGGGCUUAGGCUGCCAAGGUCGCAAAUGUGACCAAGGAGUCGCAAAUGCGGACUCUGUUGAGAUCACAAAUGCGACCAAUGUCGCAAAUUUGAACACUUCCUCGGUCGGGAUUUUUCGCAAUUGUGAAGACCUUCUCGCAAAUGCGAGGUUCACAUUUUCGAAAAAAUUCUCGCAUUUGUGAGACCUGCAACUGCUGCUAUGAAACACCAGAAAAUGAAUGUGUUUUUCAUCCUUCAGAACGUCCGAAACUCACCCGAGCCCUCGGGGCUCCACAAAGAACACCCACACAAGUCUAACAACAUCAUACAAACUUGCUCGCACAAUCGGAACACUGAAAUAACAUAAAAAACCAUGAAUCGGAUGCCAAAAUGCAUGGUUUAACUCAACCCAAACUUAUGAAAUUCACUCAAAUGCCAACUUUCACUAUUAGGCGCUGAAACGCUCCCGGGCUAUCCAAAACCCAAUCCGAACAUACGCCCAAGUUCGAAAUUAACAUACUAACCUAUUGGAAUCGUCAAAUCCUGAUUUCAAGGUCGUUUACUCAAAAUUUUGACCGAAGUCAAACUUAGCCUUUUAAGAUAACCUUAAGGAACCAAGUGUACCGAUUUCAACCCAAACCCUUCCAAAUACCGAGCUAACCAUCCCAGUAAGUCUUUAAAUAGUAAAAGCACGUAUGAAAUGUCUUAUUCAAGGGAACGAGGUUCUAGAAAGCAAAAUGACCGGUCGGGUCGUUACAACAAUGGUCCUUGGUGAAUAUGAAAUCGAGAACGAUGAUGAAAUAGUCUAUAUAAAGGAGACAAAAAAUAUCUCUCUCUACUCAACCAGAAGCUCAAUCGAGAAAAAUUCAAGCACUCUUCACGGAUAUGGAGAUAGUUGAAAUGUUGUGUCUCGUUUCCGAGUUUCUAUUAUUGCUUCUAGGUAGAGGAGUUUUACCAUUGACGUUCCUCAAAAUUCAUCUUUUAGACCAGCCGCAACACCAUCAACUUCUACCUCCCCACCGGCCUCAACCAAACUAAUGGAAGAUGUUCGCUCCCCGUGGUCACUCUAUCAUGGGAAUAUAGAGAAUACUUUCUUGGCACCCAUCCGAAACCCCGAUGGUGAAUCUAGUGUCAUUCUUUCGGUUCGAAUGAGUGCCAUUUACUCUCCCAGACGGUGGGGUUGCAAACUACUUGAAGCCUCUGGCUUUGAGCAAAGAUUGGAGAAAAAUGGAUGCUCUUUCUACCGUGUGUCUGAUCAAUAGUAGCAUUCACCUUUCUACUCAGGUAUCAAUUUAAUCUUCUUUUCUUCCCUUUUCUCUUGUUAGACAUUGUCCUCAUAACUUUAAUCAUUAACCUUUUAGGCUAACCUCCUCUGCUACGAAAGCUUACAAAAGAUGAUCUUGGACAAAGAAGCACUUACUGCUGAACAAGAUCUGUUUGCUGCCGAACGAGAUCAACUCAUUGAGCACCUCCCGAUUUUAGAAGCAAAAAUUACUCAAAUAAGCAAGAUCAAAGCCUGAUUAGAGCAAUCUAGCAAGAGAAGAUGGUUCACAGUCGAGAGGUCGCUUAACUACACGAAAAUCUUAAGGAGUUGAAAGCCAAGUGGGCUGAGCUACAGGACAAUGUGACUGCGGCAGCGGAACGUGAGUCCACUUUCAAGGAACAAAUCAAUAAUCUGAAGCAACCUUGCAUUCCAAAAUCGAGGGGGCUACUGCUAUCGAGCAGUAGAGAGCUAGCAUGGAGGAAAGGUUCAAAAAUAUCAUAGACCAGAACCGUGAACACGCGAGGACAAAUACUGACCUUAGGCAAACUUAUGGCAUGGCGAAGGCUGAAACGGCCAACUCCAAAAUCAAGAAACUUCGAGCCAAACUCCAUGAAUAAGAAGACUCUUUCCACCUCGAGAAGACUUAUGUGAUUUAUCACAUGAGGAGGAAGACUUUGGAGGAGGCCAAAGAAAGUAUUGCAAAUAUAGAUGGUUGGAUUGCUGAAGCUCUCGAAUUGGAGACAACUACCUUCAAUAACAUUCCUUCUCGGCCUACUGCUUCAAGCUCCUCGAGCACAAGUUCUGAUAACUUAGAAACCGAAGAAGAAACUGAAGAAAAAGAUAAGGGUGAAGCUACUGAACAGGAUGCGGAACAACCUUUAUCUACAAAAGAUGUAGAAGAUAGUAACAAUGCCAAAACUUCAUCACGUUUGGCAUUUUGAAAAAUAAAAAAUAUCUUUUGCAUUUCUGUGCAAGACAUUUCUUUUUUAUUUGAUAAUAUUUGGGAAUUUGUUACAUCCAAUAACUUUAAUUACGGGUAGUCAUAGUUCCAGUGUCUACCCUUUGACUAUGAGGGUUUCAUAAGAGAGGGCCCUUAUAUUUACGGUGCUUUUGAAAAGGAUGCCUCUUAUUUAUUACGGCACAAGCAUUUGAAGUUUAACUAAGAUAAAAACAAAAGGAACUUGUUUUAUUCCUUCCAUUUAUAAAAGUACACCUACAUACACAUUUAUCUGCUUAAUAAAUAAAGCUAUCAAUACAUGUGGCUAACUUGUAAAACUUAUUUUAAUGGGUCUAAUCAUGCAGUCCCCUAUCACAACCAAACUCGCAUCGGAUCUGCGACGGUGCCUAAUACUACUUGCCAAGCAAGACGACAGUCACAUAAUAGCUUAACAUUUGCACAAAUAUUGUAUAAUAAACUCAACAACGAAAAUAUCAUGAAUAUCUGACACAAAUAACCGAAAUACUGCUAUAUCCACCACAAAAUCUGGUAUCAACGAGUACAUGAGCACUACUAAGUAUCAAAACAUAAACCCAAUCCUUAGUACAACUAUCUGGGUAAUAGACCAGUAUUGAAGAAAAUAAAGGAAAAGAAAGUCAAGGUCUACAGACGUCAUAGCAAUGUGAUUGUGUGAGGUAAAAGCACAAAGGUUGAUGUCGUGCCUAUUCUAUUGAUCUUUAUGGUGAAGAUGAGAGUAAAAGCACAAAGGGUGAUGUUGUGCACAUGUUAUUAAGUUCUUGAUUCCUGUUGAUAAUUGAAUUAUCGCUUUCUUUACGUUCCUCUAUUGGUUUUUUGUUGUUACCUGAUAUUCCCCGCAACAUGUUUUCCCCCUUCUAUAUUUAACUGUAACUUUCUGCCUUUAUUUUUCCGUUGUAUAUGAUUUAACUACACAGAUUUAUUUGGUAGUCCUGUCCUAGCCUCAUCACUAUUUUACCGAGGUUAGGCUAAGCACUUACCACCACAUGGGGUCAGUUGUGCUGAUACUACACUCUACACUGUGUGCAGAUCCCAGUGCUGCAGUUUUUAGACCACAGUGAGGUUGCUGCCUUCAGUCCAUCAGGAAACCCAAGGUAGUCAUGCAGGCGUCCGCAGGCCUUGGCGUCUCCUUCUAUCUUUCCAUUAUAUUUCUUUUAUGUAUUUUAAAGACAGUUUUGUAUUUAUCUUUCGUACCACUGUUUGUAAUAUUCGUAGAUAGUCCGUGACAUUGUGACACCAAAUUCUGGGUAGAGUUGUAUGUUGGAUUCUGCACUAGUAUAUGGUUAAACUAUUAGUUUUUGUCUUCUGUGUUUCUAUUUAUCAUAAUAUUUCCAUUUUUGAUCACC
rnacentral:lncRNA from 1 species